rnacentral:lncRNA from 1 species
UCAAAAAUUAAUUGGCAUUUCAGUAAUCCUUGGGCUACCCCGAGGCCUGUUUAUUAGCAGUUGAGCAAGCCCAACAGAUGGGUUUUUCCCUUGUUAGACGGAAUUCUCACUAAUAGAAAAAAGGGAGGUGGCAACUGUUUUUUUAUUUCACAACCCUUUUUGGACCAUCCAAGGAUCAAUUUUUCUACACAAGCUCUCAGAACUACAAUCCGAACAUCCCACCCUCAAAAUCCUAAAUAGCAAACAUACCAAACUCAAACUAAGGUUUCCUAAUCCCACUAAAAUCUCACAAAUAAAAACAUAACACAACCUCAGGUAAUAAACAGAAAAAGCAUACAAAUCGAAAAGUACAAGGUCCUUUAGGAGUUGCUUUCGCCGAAGCUUCCAAGAUCCACCAAAGUUCCUGGCGCAAUGGGGCUAAGAGCUCAGCCUGCUGUCAAAAUAUUCAAGAGAAAAAAUAAGCUUUCAAAGGUUGGUCCUUUAAAUGAAACAUCUUCCUGAUUUUUAAACAUUCAUAUAACACUCAUAUAUUUGUUUCCAUUAUUAUGAUUGUUGAUGUCCUGUGCCAUAUUCAUCUACCAUGCAACUGUUAAAACCCUUUUCUAAUCUAAUGAUCAUCACAACUAAGUGGUCCAAAUAACUCAUUUAAGUAGUAAUGAUAUUACAAAAAAAAAAUUGUUCUCACUAAAUAAAAAACUUGAUUAUUCUCACUAGAAAACGACUCAAUAUAUGAUGCCAAAAUCAAGAAAAUAUGGGGUGCUUUGUUUAAAACAGGUUGCUGAAAUUUUAUUAAGGCAUGUAAAAUAAUCAAAAUUUUAACAAAUAAGCUAAUACGGGUGUACUAAAAUUAAUAGGUUAUUUUCAUCUACAUUCGUGUGUUUACGACUAGGAAACGGUAAUGAUAGCCUGACUUUCUCUAUUUCAGCCCUUUGGCCAAAAAAUCAAAGUAAUUUUAGACUUUGUUAUACUUUCCUGGGUAUUGUCUUUCCUUCGCUAUGACUUUCUCGAGCAAAGUUAGAUUCGCGCUCUCUACAUUAGAAAAUCAAAAUCAAAAUCAAUCUCCUUUUCACUAACUAACAAAACAGGUCUCUUUAAAAUAGAAAUAAGGACGUAAACUUUUUUUUUAUUUCGCUUGAAACCACCUUCGUCAUUUUGGUUCCACCGUCAAUAGGCCCUGCGCCGCGGGGGGGGGGGGGGGGGGGCACGGGCGGGGGNNNNNNNNNNNNNNNNNNNNNNNNNNNNNNNNNNNNNNNNNNNNNCCUAGUCAGCGAUCCGAAAGAAAAUAAAGCUCAAAAGAUCAGUAAUAAAAAACAAAGGAAAAGAGUAGUAAGGAUGAUUCGUUACCUUUGUUGUCACUACUGUCACCGUAGAGUGCAAGGAUCUGGAUGAGAAGGGGCGACGGCAAUGUGGCCACCGCUGCUGUGAAAGGAAGAAAGUCAGAGAAGAGGAGAAGGAGCGGGACAAGAAGAAGAGAAGGAGGAAGAUAAGAAGAGAAAAAGUGGGGCGAAGGGAAGAGAGGCAGAGAACAAGUGAUGAGUGGGGCAGUGGCAGCACCAGCGCCGCCGGCGAGAGGAAGUUGAGAGACUUGAGGAGAGACAGAGAGGGUCGGAGAUUAGGGUUUAGAGAGUUGUGAAUUUUGAAUUAAGAAGAGCUUUUAUAUGCCUAAGUUGGGUUAGGAUAAAAUUACGUCACUACACUUAAUUUCAGUUCAGUAGCUGUAAUUCCUUCAAGGGUUGCCCUCCUGGAUCGUAUUUCAAGUGAUCGAACCGAUUUCCUCACUCGACGACCCUAGUCUCGUUCACACGAUUCAGAUUUUCUGUUGGGCCCAACUUGAGCUUGAGCCCAAAUUAAUUCCAAUUCAACAUAAUUAAACCCAAUGGAAAUCCUUUAACAAAUUAAUAAACGAAUUGGGAUAAGUUUAAUUAGCUUAAUUAAUGUUACUGUUAAAAUCGUUUUCUAAUCUAAUAAUCAUCAAAACUAAAUGAUCCAAAUAACUCAUUUAAUCAGUAACAAUAUAACAAAAAUAAAGACUGUUCUCACUAAAUAAAAGUUUGGAGGAAAACAUGAUUAAAAGCGAUUAAAAUGACCAACUAUUGCUUAGUUUGACACCAUUUACAUCUUGAACCCAAAGACUAUAAAACGACCCAAAAUAUGACGUCAAAAUCGAGAAAAUAUGGGGUUCUUUGUUCAAAACAGGUUUCUGGAAUUUCAUUAAAACAUGCAAAAUAAUCGAAGUUUUCAACAAAUAAACUACAACGAUUGUACUAAAAUUAAUAAGUCAUUUUGAUCUACAUUUGUGUCUUUAUGUCUAGGAAUGGGUAAUUAUAGCUUGACUUUAUCUAAUUCUGUCCUCCGGUUAAAAAAUUGAAGUAAUUUCAGACACUGUUUUACCUUCCUGAGUAGAGUUUUUCCUCUACUCAAACUUUCUCGAGCAAAGUUAGGUUCGCGCUCUCUGCACCUGAAGUCAAAAUAAAAAUCUAUUUUCUUUGUGUUAACCGACAAAAGUGGAUCUCUUUAAAAUAGGAAUAAGUGUGUUUCACCUCGUUUCGGUCCCAUCGUCGGCAUGCCUUGCAGUGAGGGUCGAGCCAUCGUCCGUGCAUCCUUCUUUUUUCCUCUUUAGUCAACGGCCCCAAAGAAAAUCGAAGUAAAAAAGCUAAAACGAUCAGUAAUUAAAAAUAAAUGGAAGAAGCUUGUACAACCCAGAAUUUCGUAGAUCGGUGUUGCAUGUCAGUGGAGGACUCGCCGGAGGCGCGGGUGACAUGAACCCCGAAACUUAUUAUUUUGAAAAAAGAAAAGGAAUAGAGGAGUAAGGACGAUUUGCUAUCUCUAUCGUCUCCGCUGUCACCGUAGAGUUGACAGAGAUGAGAUGGAGAUACGCGGCAGCACUACCACCAUCACCGUGAGACGAAGAAGAAGAAGCAGAAGCAAAGGAGGGAAAAAGAGGUAAGAACAAAAGAAGAAGAAAAGACGAGGAGCCAAGAGAAGAGAGGCAGAGAAGAAAGUGAUUAGUGAGGCGACGGUGGUGCUACUACUGCCAUCGAGAGGAAGUUGAGAGAACAUAAAAGAGAGAGAGAGGAUCGGCGGCUAGGGUUUAGAGAGUUGUG